rnacentral:rRNA from 1 species
UACAGAGGUGGCAAGCGUUGUUCGGAAUUACUGGGCGUAAAGGGCGCGUAGGCGGCCAUCUAAGUCAGACGUGAAAUCCCCCGGCUUAACCUGGGAACUGCGUCUGAUACUGGACGGCUUGAGUAUGGGAGAGGGAUGUAGAAUUCCAGGUGUAGCGGUGAAAUGCGUAGAUAUCUGGAGGAAUACCGGUGGCGAAGGCGGCAUCCUGGACCAUUACUGACGCUGAGGCGCGAAAGCUAGGUGAGCAAACGGG